GAAGAAGAAAAAGGUGCUGGAUGUGCCCAAAAAUAUAUUUCAAAUUCUAAUUUUAAACCUUAUCUAUGGGCUGGAGAUGGUACAGAGCCAACGUAAAAUUUACCGCAUUUGUCCCAGUAAAUAAGAUAUUAGUCUUAAGAUGUGUUUGAUUCAUCUGUUAGAUACAGUUGAUUGUUGAUAUACACCUAAACAGGUGAAUUAGAGUAUUUGAUAAGUUUUAAAA
rnacentral:misc_RNA from 1 species